ACUCCUACGGGAGGCAGCAGUGGGGAAUAUUGCACAAUGGGGGAAACCCUGAUGCAGCCAUGCCGCGUGUGUGAAGAAGGCCUUCGGGUUGUAAAGCACUUUCAGUAGGGAGGAAGGUAGUGUAGUUAACACCUAGCACUUAUUUGACGUUACCUACAGAAGAAGCACCGGCUAACUCCGUGCCAGCAGCCGCGGUAAUACGGAGGGUGCGAGCGUUAAAUCGGAAUUACUGGGCGUAAAGCGCAUGCAGGCGGCCUGUUAAGUCAGAUGUGAAAGCCCGGGGGCUUAACCUCGGAAUUGCAUUUGAAACUGGCAGACUAGAGUACUGUAGAGGGGGGUAGAAUUUCAGGUGUAGCGGUGAAAAUGCGUAGAGAUCUGAAGGAAUACCGGUGGCGAAGGCGGCCCCCUGGACAGAUACUGACACUCAGAUGCGAAAAGGCGUGGGGGAGCAAAACAGGGAUUAGAU
rnacentral:rRNA from 1 species